rnacentral:rRNA from 1 species
AUUGAACGCUGGCGGCAGGCCUAACACAUGCAAGUCGAGCGGAUGAAGGGAGCUUGCUCCUGGAUUCAGCGGCGGACGGGUGAGUAAUGCCUAGGAAUCUGCCUGGUAGUGGGGGAUAACGUCCGGAAACGGGCGCUAAUACCGCAUACGUCCUGAGGGAGAAAGUGGGGGAUCUUCGGACUUCACGCUAUCAGAUGAGCCUAGGUCGGAGUAGCUAGUUGGUGGGGUAAAGGCCUACCAAGGCGACGAUCCGUAACUGGUCUGAGAGGAUGAUCAGUCACACUGGAACUGAGACACGGUCCAGACUCCUACGGGAGGCAGCAGUGGGGAAUAUUGGACAAUGGGCGAAAGCCUGAUCCAGCCAUGCCGCGUGUGUGAAGAAGGUCUUCGGAUUGUAAAGCACUUUAAGUUGGGAGGAAGGGAAGUAAGUUAAUCCCUUGCUGUUUUGACGGUACCAACAGAAUAAGCCCCGGCUAACUUCGUG